CCCUUAGAUGUUCUGGGCCGCACGCGCGCUACACUGACGAAGGCAACGAGCUUUCCUUUACCGAAAGGUACGGGUAAUCUUUUGAAACUUCGUCGUGCUGGGGAUAGAUCCUUGCAAUUAUUGAUCUUAAACGAGGAAUUCCUAGUAAGCGCAAGUCAUCAACUUGCGUUGAUUACGUCCCUGCCCUUUGUACACACCGCCCGUCGCUACUACCGAUUGAAUGGUUUAGUGAGGCCUUCGGAUCCGCAACUCGUUUUGUGGAGAAGUUGGACAAACUCAGUCAUUUAGAGGAAGUAAAAGUCGUAACA
rnacentral:rRNA from 1 species